rnacentral:tRNA from 1 species
GUGGACGUAGCUCAAUAGGUAGAGCCCCGGGUUGUGAUCCCGGUGGUUGCGGGUUCGAAGCCCGUCGUUCACCCCA